GGGUUGUGAGGUUAAGCGACUAAGCGUACACGGUGGAUGCCCUGGCAGUCAGAGGCGAUGAAGGACGUGCUAAUCUGCGAUAAGCGUCGGUAAGGUGAUAUGAACCGUUAUAACCGGCGAUUUCCGAAUGGGGAAACCCAGUGUGAUUCGUCACACUAUCAUUAACUGAAUCCAUAGGUUAAUGAGGCGAACCGGGGGAACUGAAACAUCUAAGUACCCCGAGGAAAAGAAAUCAACCGAGAUUCCCCCAGUAGCGGCGAGCGAACGGGGAGGAGCCCAGAGCCUGAAUCAGUGUGUGUGUUAGUGGAAGCGUCUGGAAAGGCGCGCGAUACAGGGUGACAGCCCCGUACACAAAAAUGCACAUGCUGUGAGCUCGAUGAGUAGGGCGGGACACGUGGUAUCCUGUCUGAAUAUGGGGGGACCAUCCUCCAAGGCUAAAUACUCCUGACUGACCGAUAGUGAACCAGUACCGUGAGGGAAAGGCGAAAAGAACCCCGGCGAGGGGAGUGAAAAAGAACCUGAAACCGUGUACGUACAAGCAGUGGGAGCCUCUUUAUGGGGUGACUGCGUACCUUUUGUAUAAUGGGUCAGCGACUUAUAUUCUGUAGCAAGGUUAACCGAAUAGGGGAGCCGAAGGGAAACCGAGUCUUAACUGGGCGUUAAGUUGCAGGGUAUAGACCCGAAACCCGGUGAUCUAGCCAUGGGCAGGUUGAAGGUUGGGUAACACUAACUGGAGGACCGAACCGACUAAUGUUGAAAAAUUAGCGGAUGACUUGUGGCUGGGGGUGAAAGGCCAAUCAAACCGGGAGAUAGCUGGUUCUCCCCGAAAGCUAUUUAGGUAGCGCCUCGUGAAUUCAUCUCCGGGGGUAGAGCACUGUUUCGGCAAGGGGGUCAUCCCGACUUACCAACCCGAUGCAAACUGCGAAUACCGGAGAAUGUUAUCACGGGAGACACACGGCGGGUGCUAACGUCCGUCGUGAAGAGGGAAACAACCCAGACCGCCAGCUAAGGUCCCAAAGUCAUGGUUAAGUGGGAAACGAUGUGGGAAGGCCCAGACAGCCAGGAUGUUGGCUUAGAAGCAGCCAUCAUUUAAAGAAAGCGUAAUAGCUCACUGGUCGAGUCGGCCUGCGCGGAAGAUGUAACGGGGCUAAACCAUGCACCGAAGCUGCGGCAGCGACACUAUGUGUUGUUGGGUAGGGGAGCGUUCUGUAAGCCUGCGAAGGUGUACUGUGAGGUAUGCUGGAGGUAUCAGAAGUGCGAAUGCUGACAUAAGUAACGAUAAAGCGGGUGAAAAGCCCGCUCGCCGGAAGACCAAGGGUUCCUGUCCAACGUUAAUCGGGGCAGGGUGAGUCGACCCCUAAGGCGAGGCCGAAAGGCGUAGUCGAUGGGAAACAGGUUAAUAUUCCUGUACUUGGUGUUACUGCGAAGGGGGGACGGAGAAGGCUAUGUUGGCCGGGCGACGGUUGUCCCGGUUUAAGCGUGUAGGCUGGUUUUCCAGGCAAAUCCGGAAAAUCAAGGCUGAGGCGUGAUGACGAGGCACUACGGUGCUGAAGCAACAAAUGCCCUGCUUCCAGGAAAAGCCUCUAAGCAUCAGGUAACAUCAAAUCGUACCCCAAACCGACACAGGUGGUCAGGUAGAGAAUACCAAGGCGCUUGAGAGAACUCGGGUGAAGGAACUAGGCAAAAUGGUGCCGUAACUUCGGGAGAAGGCACGCUGAUAUGUAGGUGAAGCGACUUGCUCGUGGAGCUGAAAUCAGUCGAAGAUACCAGCUGGCUGCAACUGUUUAUUAAAAACACAGCACUGUGCAAACACGAAAGUGGACGUAUACGGUGUGACGCCUGCCCGGUGCCGGAAGGUUAAUUGAUGGGGUUAGCGGUAACGCGAAGCUCUUGAUCGAAGCCCCGGUAAACGGCGGCCGUAACUAUAACGGUCCUAAGGUAGCGAAAUUCCUUGUCGGGUAAGUUCCGACCUGCACGAAUGGCGUAAUGAUGGCCAGGCUGUCUCCACCCGAGACUCAGUGAAAUUGAACUCGCUGUGAAGAUGCAGUGUACCCGCGGCAAGACGGAAAGACCCCGUGAACCUUUACUAUAGCUUGACACUGAACAUUGAGCCUUGAUGUGUAGGAUAGGUGGGAGGCUUUGAAGUGUGGACGCCAGUCUGCAUGGAGCCGACCUUGAAAUACCACCCUUUAAUGUUUGAUGUUCUAACGUUGGCCCCUAAUCGGGGUUGCGGACAGUGUCUGGUGGGUAGUUUGACUGGGGCGGUCUCCUCCUAAAGAGUAACGGAGGAGCACGAAGGUUGGCUAAUCCUGGUCGGACAUCAGGAGGUUAGUGCAAUGGCAUAAGCCAGCUUGACUGCGAGCGUGACGGCGCGAGCAGGUGCGAAAGCAGGUCAUAGUGAUCCGGUGGUUCUGAAUGGAAGGGCCAUCGCUCAACGGAUAAAAGGUACUCCGGGGAUAACAGGCUGAUACCGCCCAAGAGUUCAUAUCGACGGCGGUGUUUGGCACCUCGAUGUCGGCUCAUCACAUCCUGGGGCUGAAGUAGGUCCCAAGGGUAUGGCUGUUCGCCAUUUAAAGUGGUACGCGAGCUGGGUUUAGAACGUCGUGAGACAGUUCGGUCCCUAUCUGCCGUGGGCGCUGGAGAACUGAGGGGGGCUGCUCCUAGUACGAGAGGACCGGAGUGGACGCAUCACUGGUGUUCGGGUUGUCAUGCCAAUGGCACUGCCCGGUAGCUAAAUGCGGAAGAGAUAAGUGCUGAAAGCAUCUAAGCACGAAACUUGCCCCGAGAUGAGUUCUCCCUGACUCCUUGAGAGUCCUGAAGGAACGUUGAAGACGACGACGUUGAUAGGCCGGGUGUGUAAGCGCAGCGAUGCGUUGAGCUAACCGGUACUAAUGAACCGUGAGGCUUAACCUUACAACGCCGAAG
rnacentral:rRNA from 1 species